rnacentral:lncRNA from 1 species
UGCUGACUUUACACAAAACAAUCAUGAUCUAUCUAUAUAGAACGUUGUCUAGUUGAGUUCUUAUCUAUUAAACCAGAACACAUGAAGCAUCCAUUCUCUCUAUAUGAUUGCAUGUAUCCUACAGGCAGUAUGCCUGAAAUUUAAGUAGGGUCCGCCACUGAUUCUUACCAAGUAACUAAUCCUCUGCCUGAAAUUUAAGUAGGGUCCGCCACUGAUUCUUACCAAGUAACUAAUCCUCAGCUUGUAUGUUUUUUUUCUAACUUGGUCUAUAUUUAAUUAUCACUUCAUAGGGAAAAUGAGAAAAAGCUGAAGUUUCACCUAUCCUUUAAUGAGUCUUCUCCAGAAGUCUGAU